UGGGGAAUAUUGGACAAUGGAGGAAACUCUGAUCCAGCAAUUCUGUGUGUGUGAAGAAGGUUUUAGGACUGUAAAACACUUUUAGUAGGGAAGAAAAAAAUGACGGUACAUACAGAAGAAGCAACGGCUAAAUACGUGCCAGCAGCCGCGGUAAUACGUAUGUUGCGAGCGUUAUCCGGAAUUAUUGGGCUUAAAGGGCAUCUAGGCGGUAAGACAAGUUGAAGGUGAAAACCUGUGGCUCAACCAUAGGCUUGCCUACAAAACUGUUGAACUAGAGUACUGGAAAGGUGGGUGGAACUACACGAGUAGAGGUGAAAUUCGUAGAUAUGUGUAGGAAUGCCGAUGAUGAAGAUAACUCACUGGACAGAAACUGACGCUGAAGUGCGAAAGCUAGGGGAGCAAACAGG
rnacentral:rRNA from 1 species